GGCCGGCUAGCUCAGUUGAUUAGAGUGUGGUGCUAAUAACGCCAAGGUUAUGGGUUCAAGUGCCAUGUUGGCCA